AUACUCUGGUUUCUCUUAAAAUCAUAUAAAUCUUUCACCUUUUACUAAAAGAUUUCCAUGGAGAGGAACAACUCUGGGUCUUAAACCCAAUUUUUCGAGGCCUUGUUUUAACAGGGCU
ensembl:snRNA U5 U5 spliceosomal RNA